CGCUGCCGUCCCCCGGGCGGAUCUAGGAGGAUGAAAACGUGGAGGAGCGCCUGCUUUAAAAACAAACAAACUAGCAGCUUGACAAGUAGGCCAAGGGUAUAGGGCUGCAUCAAGAUGAAGCCAAAACUGCACGGUCUGGCCUUGGCCCACCUGCUCAUCCUCGUUUGCCUCCUCAGAGAGCAUCGGGGCAGAGGCAAGUUGCUGCAACCCUCCAGCUCAGCCUGGCCGCAUGCCCGCUGCCUACCAGGGGAGAGGCCAGCCAGGAGCUCUGACUUGGUUCCUUGGAUAGAUCCCCUGGCUUCUGACUUCCUGGCUUCUCCCAACCCUGAAGUGACUUCCAGACCUGACCUGACCACAGCUGGAAUGACACAACAACAACUAUAACUUCAUCAGAAUAAGUUCAAAAAAAUCUGCAGGACUGUCAAAUAGGCCCUUCAUCCGAAUCGCAGAACAAUGGCUAGCUUGAUUUGUUGAACAUCAAGACCAUUAAAAAGAAGAGAGGGUCGGUCACACCUGUGGAAUGAAGAGUGUGGAAGGGAUUAGGUAGAUGAUAAUGAGCCAAGAAGUCAAUUGACUCCCUCAGCACUGCCUGACCAGAAAUGCUGAUGCCACUGGCUGGCUGUUGGUUUUAAAAUUUGGGUGGAGCAGGAAUCAAGGGGGAGGGAGGUAAGUGCACCAAACUACCUUAUCCCCCCUGAGAUCCAGCCUUGCUUGUCUCUUAUUGAGGGGAGCCUUGAGCCUGAAAAGGUUGAGAACCACUGCUCUACCAGGGGUGGAUCCAGAAUUGCCUGAAGGAGCAGAAACCUACGUGGCAAGGGGGACUGCACCCCUGCUCCCAGGGUGUGAAUUAUGGGGGGGGUUAAGCCCCCCCCAUAAAAGACAAGAUCCCCCCUGUAAGAUCUGAAAAUUAUAACCUGGGAGCUCUCCAAUUAGAUUGCUCCUUCCAAAGAACUGGUUUAAUUUUUUUGCAGACUCCACCAAGAGUCAAAGUGUAAUUUGAACUCUGCCUGUUCCCAGCCUCUUCUACCCUCAUCAGUGUGGGCAGACCACACUGCAGGACCUCCAGGGUCUUUAAGUCCCUAAAGCAAGUGAACCACCCUCCCUCCCCCAAACUUCACCUUCCUACUCAGAGGCAGUUUCCUCCCUUUCUGCCGUGCUCCUUCUCCCCAUUAUUCCCCUGCCUGCCACCCUGUUGUUUUCUCCACUGCUCCAAAGCUAGCCAAGGUAAGCAGGGGCUGAGGUCAUUUGGGGCAGGGGAGCGGGGAAGACAGUGGCAAUAGGGUAGCUAGAGUGUAGUUUCCCAUGGCAGCCACAGGGAAGAAGAACCCCUUUCCAUCCCUGGUGCCCUUGUCUCCAUGACCCACUAAGCCCAGCUCUUGUGCAGUAGGCAGAAAGAGAUUUGGUGUUUCCGUGUCCCCUGCACAGCAGGAGAGAAGGGGCAGGGAGAAGGCAUUUUGAUCAGGAAGAUGGAAGGGAGGAAGGGUUUUAACCUGAUUUAGGGACUUUAAGAUGUCUCUGGAGUUUCCUGUGGGUUUCCCCAAUCCAGAAGACGGAUGCAGCCACCUCCUCUGGAUCUGUUCCUAUCUAUAGCCAUCAGUGUUGUGUCUGGCUACUUGGAUUCCUCCAUCCCGAUAGACAGGUACCUCUUUACAAUUGGGGACAGUCUUUGGCACAAGUCCAAAGCAGGGUUCAAACUCUCACUUUUGGAGCAGGAUGCCUUAACUGCUUAGCCUUUGUACCCUGCGCAAUGAGAGAAUAAUAAGAAAAAAAAAACUCAACAUCCCCUCACCUUUACCACAAUAACAAAGACAAAAAUUAAGAUUCUGGUGGGUGGUAUCUUUACUAGGCCAACUGCAUGUUUGGAAUAAAGUGAAUCAAGCUUUCAAAUGCAAGGCAUUCUUCAUGAGGCCAGAAGAAUGUCCUUCAUUCAAAUGCUUGUCUCACUUCAUUUUAACCAUGAAGCUAGGCCAAUAAAAGAUACCACCCACAAAAAUCCAUGUCUCUUGCCUAGCUCCUGGGCCAUCAGGGCUACAACAUUAUUCCAACACUAUCAAAGAAAAAAUAAUAUUUUAUUUGCUUGUGAAAAGAGAAGUUCCCCCAGACAAGUUAGCUAGCAUAAUUUUGCAAGCAGAUGAAAAUGUUAUGUAUAAAUUUUAUACUAUAAAUGUAUACUAUAAAAUGUCCUUGUGGGUAGAUAGAGCUGUGUGGCCCUUCAAGGAAGGGAGAAGAUAGAUUGGUGAUUGGAACAUAAGAUUUUUAAGUACUGUAGUAAUACUCAUUUGUUGUAUCCAUAACCAACAAAUAAACAAGAAUGAAUAGAAACAAGUAAUUUCAAAACACAGAUUUGAAUUCAGCUAACAAAAUGUAACAUUACACAAUGUAAUAUCAUCACUAUUCAGACUCCCCUCAGCUUCCACUCUGUAUACAUCCAUGAACAGAGAAAUGUAGUUAGCUGUGUUAACCUAAAGUCAGGCAGGAGGCACCUUGUCUCUGAUUCAGUUAGUCUACAAGGUGCACUUCUACCCUGCUUUUCUCCUGACAUACAGCUAGUUAAGGCUUGUCUACUUGAAGAAGCUAGUGCAUAUUAAGCUGCAUAGGAAGGGUAUGAAUGUAUAGCAGACUAGUAACUCCACAAUAACAGCCUCAUGCCCUCAUUUACCUUGCCAUAGUAGUCAAAGCUCUACAUACUAUAGAUAUUCUAACUCAAAUGGCACCAGUAGCUAAAUUGUAAAUUGUAAUGUUUGAAGUUAUAUAGGACAUACAUUUUUAAAAUAUGAAUUAAUAUAGAAUGGUAAAUAAUUUAGCAAAAAAAACCCCACCUUACUGUACUUUUUCUCUCUUUUCACUUGUGCCUGUACAUUGUGUCUGUGCAUGUGUGUGUGUGUGGAUGCAGUUUUCAUUAUUAAUUACAUAUUACUAAUGAUUAUUUAAAACUGAAAAUAAUGGUUAACAUCCAGCUGUGAUUCUGCUCACUUCACAUUCAAGAAUUUUUACUUGUUUACUGUCUUUUAAAUAAAGCAGUUAUAGCACUUACAAAAUAUACAUUCACAAGGCUUGAGAACUAACUAGUCAAUGCUAUACUGAACUACACAAAAGUUCUAUACAGAACUGGUCAGCAGGUUGGUAAAGCUAGGAAUGUUACAAGACUGGUUUAAUCCAGGAAAUGCUGUCCUCCAGUGUUGCUCAUUCUACCUGGUAGGUCUCACAUUUCUGUUCGUUUGAAUGGAGAUUCUGUUUAAAUCUGUUGCUGAAAUGUAGGUAUGACCCAGCAGCUAAUGAAGGGUUAAAAUUUUAAAGUCAGAUAUGCUGCUAUGAAGGUAUCAUUAGUAUGUGUUUGUACUGCUUAUGCUAUCCCACAGUGUAAAAUUGUUUUAUGAAAGUUAUAUAAGACAGUCGUUCUCAACUUUUUUUUGUAGCAGGACCCAUUUGUAAACAUCAGUACAUCAAUAGCCAGUCCUGAUGCAGUGUCUCUCACUCCCGACCUGCUGCCCCCUGCCCCUCUCCCCAGGUUCCAGGCCUCCCCUUGUGUAGGGUAUGGAGUGGGUGGGUGGAGUUAGAGGUGAAGUGUAGGGCAUGGUGGGGGGGGAGAAGAAGCCCCUUGCAGGCUGGAACUCUGCCAGCCUGCAAGGGAAAAGCCACAGUUUCCCACACUUAAUUCUUUAAAGGAGAAUCCAUUUUUAAAGUUUGUUUACAACCCUUUCGCAUAUUCUUGUGACCCACUUUUGGGUCGUGACCCACGGGUUGAGAAACACUGCCCUAAGAGAAACCUGCUUAAGGACCCAGUUCAGGAAAGUACUUAGACACAUGUUUCUGUUCUGUUGACAAAUGAAUUCAACAGGUAUGAGCACAUGCUCAAUUUAAGAAUGUAUUUAAGCAUUGUCCCAAAUAAGGAUGCUUUUGUAAAGCAAAGCAACUUACACUUACAUUAUCUACAUAGAGAUCACAAGGCUUGGGGAGAAAAAAAGUAGUUCAGAAAUGAAUACUGCUAUAAAAGUGGUGCACAAUGAAUAGUUAAUAUAUUGCUUGAAAAAAGAUGUGUUGCAGCAUUUUAAUGUCAAAUUUUAGGGAGAAAUUUAAUUUUUAAAAAUCACAGUUAUUUUCCCCUCUGUUUGAGUACAAAUAACAAGAACUGUGUAUGUGCUGUGAUCCUAUAAAUAAAUUUUACACAAUUUAA